rnacentral:rRNA from 1 species
GACGAACGCUGGCGGCGUGCCUAAUACAUGCAAGUAGAACGCACAGUUUAUACCGUAGCUUGCUACACCAUAGACUGUGAGUUGCGAACGGGUGAGUAACGCGUAGGUAACCUGCCUGGUAGCGGGGGAUAACUAUUGGAAACGAUAGCUAAUACCGCAUAAUAUUGAUUAUUGCAUGAUAAUUGAUUGAAAGAUGCUAUUGCAUCACUACCAGAUGGACCUGCGUUGUAUUAGCUAGUAGGUGAGGUAACGGCUCACCUAGGCGGCGAUACAUAGCCGACCUGGGAGGGUGGUCGGCCACACUGGGACUGGGACACGGCCCAGACUCCUACGGGAGGCCGCAGUAGGGAAUCUUCGGCAAUGGACGGAAGUCUGGCCGAGCAACGCCGGGUGAGUGGAGAAGGUUUUCGGAUCGUAAAGCUCUGUUGUAAGGGGAGAACGGGUGUGGGAGUGGAAAGUUCACACUGUGACGGUAUCUUACCAGAAAGGGACGGCUAACUACGUG